CCUGGUAUUUGCAGCUUAUAUAAUACAUUAUUGCAGAUCAAAAUUGAUGAUCUCAUUAAAAAUUUACGAUGAAGAGUUAUCGAAGCCAAAAUUGUAUGUACGUUAUGUCCUGGCCCUUAAAAUUAUAAUUAAAUAAUGCAGUUGAUAACAUCAUUAGGCUGAACAGACAGCAUACAUGUGAUUUAUGUGAUAAGCGUUUUGUACAUUUAGAAAAUCUUAAAAGUCAUUUAAAACUCACGGAGGAAAGGACAGGAAAAAACAAUUAAUUUGCGCGUUAUGCAAGGAUGAACUUUCAAGGAAAAGUGAGUUGUAUGACCAUCUAAAUGAAAGACAUGAUGCAGUCGUCACUUUUGAGAGUCUUCAAUUCAAGGAUGCAAACGAAUUUUCUUAAUGAAAAAGUAAAAUUGUAUCUGAGACUCGGUCGAAAUUUACUGCUAACCAUGGAUCCCAUCCUACCAAGAGUUGUGUGAAAACGCCCUAUACAUGUCUAGAGGAGAAGGUCAAAGACAUCUGAAAACUCAUGUGAGUAGGAAGAAUAAUGGAAUGUGCCCUGCGGAGAUAAAGGCUACUGUGCUUUAAGACGGUACACAUGAAGUUAAAUUUAUCAUGACACAUGCAGGCGACAACAUGUCCGAGCUGGUGUGUCUAUACCUUUUAGAAGUAGAGAAGAAGAGUAGCAUCCAAAAUAGCAGCAAAAGCUCCAUUUUUAGAAAUUCUGAACGAUGUUAAAAGAUCUCUGGGCGCUAAUGAUUUGGACCGCCACUAUCUUUUGACAAGAAACGAUUUGCAUAAUAUUUAACGCUGCUUUAAUUUGAAUAGUAAAUCCGUUCGACACUCAAAUGAUGCGAUAAGCAUCGAAGCAUGUCUGAAUGAGAUGUAAGAAGAUAAGUGUGUGUUUUACUACAAACCCCAAGAUAUUACAUGCGAAAAAUACUCACAGCUACAAAAGGAAGAUUUCGUUUUGAUCAUAAUGAACGAAGAGCAAAAGGAAAUGUUGCUCCAGUAUGGUGACGACUGCAUGUGCUCAGGCGGAAGCCACGGUCUGAAUGCAUAUGGAUUCGAAUGCAACACUGUGCUCGUAUUAUACGAAAUGCGAGAAGGAUUUCCAUGUGCGUUUCUGGUAUCCAAUCGUUCGGACGAAGAAGUUAUGAAAAUAUUUUUCUCCUGCAUCAAGGACAAAAUAGGACGUUCCCUUCAACCAAAAGUCUUUAUGUCAGACAUAGUCCCGGCAUUUUAUAAUGCAUGGUCGUGCGAAAUGGAACCUGCGAUGUUUAGGUUAUUCUGCACCUGGCAUAUCGAUAGAGCUUUGCGAAAGAAUUGAUAUAAAAUAGAUUCCAAAGAAAACAGAUUAUGAUGUACAAGCAGUUGCGAGCAUUGAUGAAAGAGACAGACGAAUCUGCAUUGAAAAUUAUGAUAGACAACUUUGUAAAGGGUCUAUUGGCUGACCCAACUACAGUCCAAUUUGGAGAGUAUUUCAAGGAGUACUAUUUGAAGAACAUUAAGGCUUUGGCUUACUGUUACAGAGUAAAUAGUGGAUAAAAUACGAAUGUGCAUAUUUAACGAAUGCACCGAACAAUCAAACAUUUGUACUUGGAAGUUAAAGUUGUCAAACGCCUGGACAAGUCUGUUAAUGCUUUGAUGAAAAAUUUUUUUAUAUUUUAACUGCGAUAUUAACCAAAUUCAUUGCAA